CCCCUAACUUUUAUUUGUACCAAUUUGGUCCUCUAUGUUUUGCUCCGUUACUAGUUUUAGUCCUUUCUCUUAGUUUCUCUCAAAAAAACGUUAAUAGAAAGGACUAAAACUAGUAACGGAGCAAAACAUAGGGGACCAAAUUGGUACAUAAGUUAACGUUUUUUUGAGAGAAACUAACAGAAAGGACUAAAACUAGUAACAAAGCAAAACAUAGGGGACCAAAUUGAUACAAAUUAUAGUUAGGGGA
rnacentral:pre_miRNA from 1 species